rnacentral:rRNA from 1 species
UACAGAGGUCCCAAGCGUUGUUCGGAUUCAUUGGGCGUAAAGGGUGCGUAGGCGGCGCGGUAAGUCGGGUGUGAAAUCUCGGAGCUUAACUCCGAAACUGCAUUCGAUACUGCCGUGCUUGAGGACUGGAGAGGAGACUGGAAUUUACGGUGUAGCGGUGAAAUGCGUAGAUAUCGUAAGGAAGACCAGUGGCGAAGGCGGGUCUCUGGACAGUUCCUGACGCUGAGGCACGAAGGCCAGGGGAGGCAAACGGGG